CAGUAAGCGUAAAAUUCUCUAUCUCCUUGUCUGUAACUAAGGAAGCCGACAUUUUGAAUUGCUGAAUAUAUUGACAUGUAAUUUCUACAAUAAUAAGCAAAAAACUCACAUGUUGCACCUAAAAAUCUUCUUUUUAUCAAAUUUUAUUACAUUCUGAAGCGGCACAGAAGCCAGAAAACGCCCGAUGUUUAUGUUUGACGCCGGAAGCAUAACUAUGACGUCACCUAGUGUAGGGACCAAAGAAGAUAACAUCUUUUCGCGGAAUUUUCUUUAAGGAAGAUUUUACACAGAAAUCAUGAUUGAAAUUUAAUAAUGAAAUUGUUUUGCAUUAGAAUAGAGAUAACUGUAUUGUAUUUGAAGCUUUGCGGACGUCCAUCUGUAGUUUUACUGUCGC
rnacentral:lncRNA from 1 species